UACGGGGGGGGCAAGCGUUGUUCGGAAUUACUGGGCGUAAAGGGUCUGUAGGUGGCUUGCUAAGUCAGACGUGAAAUCCCUCAGCUUAACUGGGGAACUGCGUCUGAUACUGAUGAGCUUGAGUGCAGGAGAGGAACGCGGAAUUCCAGGUGUAGCGGUGAAAUGCGUAGAUAUCUGGAGGAACACCGGUGGCGAAGGCGGCGUUCUGGACUGCAACUGACACUGAGAGACGAAAGCCAGGGGAGCAAACGGG
rnacentral:rRNA from 1 species